rnacentral:rRNA from 1 species
UCGAACGGCAGCACGGGGGCCACCCUGGUGGCGAGUGGCGAACGGGUGAGUAAUACAUCGGAACGUGCCCUGUAGUGGGGGAUAACUAGUCGAAAGAUUAGCUAAUACCGCAUACGACCUGAGGGUGAAAGCGGGGGACCGCAAGGCCUCGCGCUACAGGAGCGGCCGAUGUCUGAUUAGCUAGUUGGUGGGGUAAAAGCCUACCAAGGCGACGAUCAGUAGCUGGUCUGAGAGGACGAUCAGCCACACUGGGACUGANACACGGCCCAGACUCCUACGGGAGGCAGCAGUGGGGAAUUUUGGACAAUGGGGGCAACCCUGAUCCAGCAAUGCCGCGUGUGUGAAGAAGGCCUUCGGGUUGUAAAGCACUUUUGUCCGGAAAGAAAUGGCUCUGGUUAAUACCCGGGGUCGAUGACGGUACCGGAAGAAUAAGCACCGGCUAACUACGUGCCAGCAGCCGCGGUAAUACGUAGGGUGCGAGCGUUAAUCGGAAUUACUGGGCGUAAAGCGUGCGCAGGCGGUUUUGUAAGACAGGCGUGAAAUCCCCGAGCUCAACUUGGGAAUGGCGCUUGUGACUGCAAGGCUAGAGUAUGUCAGAGGGGGGUAGAAUUCCACGUGUAGCAGUGAAAUGCGUANUGAUGUGGAGGAAUACCGAUGGCGAAGGCAGCCCCCUGGGACGUCACUGACGCUCAUGCACGAAAGCGUGGGGAGCAAACAGGAUUGGAUACCCUGGUAGUCC